rnacentral:rRNA from 1 species
UACGUAGGGUGCGAGCGUUGUCCGGAAUUAUUGGGCGUAAAGGGCUCGUAGGCGGUCUGUUGCGUCGGGAGUGAAAACUCAGGGCUUAACCCUGAGCUGCUUCCGAUACGGGCAGACUAGAGGUAUGCAGGGGAGAACGGAAUUCCUGGUGUAGCGGUGAAAUGCGCAGAUAUCAGGAGGAACACCGGUGGCGAAGGCGGUUCUCUGGGCAUUACCUGACGCUGAGGAGCGAAAGUGUGGGGAGCGAACAGG